CCCCCGUCCUCCUCCUCCAUCCCGGCUUCCACUAUGAGUUACGGGCGGCCGCCGCCGGACGUGGAAGGCAUGACCUCGCUGAAGGUGGACAACCUCACGUACCGCACCUCCCCGGACACCCUGCGCCGCGUCUUCGAGAAGUACGGCCGCGUGGGCGACGUCUACAUCCCCCGGGACCGCUACACCAAGGAGAGCCGCGGCUUCGCCUUCGUCCGCUUCCACGACAAGCGCGACGCCGAGGACGCCAUGGACGCCAUGGACGGGGCCGUGCUCGACGGGCGCGAGCUGCGCGUGCAGAUGGCCCGCUACGGCAGGCCGCCCGACUCACACCACAGCCGCCGCGGGCCCCCGCCGCGCCGCUACGGAAGCGGAGGCUACGGGCGCCGCAGCAGGAGCCCUAGAAGGCGGCGCCGGAGUCGAUCUCGAAGCAGGAGCCGAUCCAGAUCCCGUAGCAGGUCCCGCUACAGUCGCUCCAAGUCCAGGUCCCGCACACGGUCCCGGUCUCGUUCCACCUCCAAGUCCAGGUCAGCCAGGAGGUCGAAGUCUAAGUCGUCGUCUGUGUCGAGAUCUCGUUCCCGGUCGAGAUCCCGGUCGAGAUCGAGAAGCCCCCCUCCUGUCUCAAAGAGAGAAUCCAAGUCCAGAUCUCGUUCAAAGAGCCCCCCUAAGUCUCCAGAAGAGGAAGGAGCGGUGUCAUCCUAGGAAAAUGGUAAUGUGGUUGAGCAUCUGCUACACUUGCAUGCUUUGUUGUAUUAGGUUAAGCGGAUACUGAAUCCACCAUAUAGUAUGCUAGAGCAAGUAAAUGGGGUAUUUGGUUAACUUCUCAAGAGGGUGUUUAGUUUAUGGCUACUAAAAUAAAUUUUCAAAGGGAUUUUUGCCAAGGUUACUUUGUCUUUUGUUACAAUUAAUAGCUUGCUUUUUAAAUAAUUGUUUUAGUCACAACCUAUUUCUGAAAAUGACUAUUGCUUACUGUUCUUACCCAACAUCUGCAUUUUCCCCUUUAAAGCUGCAGUCUCCUGUUUGCUUAAAGAAUAUUGGCCAGUAUUGCAGAUUUUAACUGAUUUGGCUGAUCCUCCAGGGACCAGUUUCUGUGGGCGUGUAUUGGAGCAGAUGCAUCAAAUAGAUGAAAAAUCUGCAUAAAGGAUGUCUUUGGAGGAGAAAUGAUCGUAAGAAUCACCAGUCCAUUGGAGAGACCCUUGGCACAAGUAACCAGCCAUUGAAAAGGUUAUUUUGUAACACUUUGUCUAACUUCUUUCUUUACUUUGAGCCUCAAAUGGCAGACUUUUACUUUUAUGUGCCAUUUUGUUCCUAUUAUUCAAAUUUCUUGUAAUUUAGUGAAGUGAACGACUACAGAUUUCAUUAUUGACUUGGAUAUUUGAGGUAAAACUUCAUUUUUGUUCAUAUAGUGCUGAUUUGUUUGCAAAUAAAUUACUAACUUGCUGCCUCAAGUUUUUAAUAUUAAGCAACCAUGCAGCUAUAAUAUGCUGAUUAGCUUAAUGCUGUCCCAAUGUUCAAUUUUUGCCUUUUCUCAAAUUCUGAAACUUUUUAAUUCAGGUGUAUUUUACAGAUUCAGUUGAAAAUAGUGUCUUCAAGUCAAACAUUAAACUUUACAGGUUAUUUUGAAAGAUUUGCUUUAUCAGACAAAAUUCUAAUCUCUUCUCUUAUGUAUUUUUGUGCACUAGGCGCAGUUGUGUAGCAGUUGAGUAAUGCUGGUUAGCUGUUAAGGUGGCGUGUUGCAGUGCAGAGUGCUUGGCUGUUUCCUGUUUUCUCCUGAUUGCUCCUGUAACGAUGCCUUGUCGUGCAGAAACAAAUGGCUGUCCAGUUAAUUAUAAUUGCCUGACAACUGCACUUCCAGUCACCCGGGCCUUGCAUAAAAAUAACGGAGCAUACAGUGAGCACAUCUAGCUGGUGAUAUACACACCUUAUUUUUUCCAGAAUGGUAAAUUAGACCAUCUACAUAUGUGAACUUGCAUAUAAAAAUGUUAACGCUAAAGCAUUUGAUUCAUUCCUCUGUAAGUACCAGUUUGGUGUAUCUUAAAACAUUCUGUAAUAUAACCACUGUCUGUAGUUAAUAAAAACACUUUCUUGGUGUUCAGUUUUUGAA